rnacentral:tRNA from 1 species
GCAUCGGUGGUUCAGUGGUAAAAUGCUCGCCUGCCACGCGGGCGGACCGGGUUCGAUGCCCGGCCGAUGCU